rnacentral:rRNA from 1 species
UACGAAGGGUGCAAGCGUUGUUCGGAAUCAUUGGGCGUAAAGCGCGCGCAGGCGGAUCAGUAAGUCAGGUGUGAAAUCUCGGAGCUCAACUCCGAAACUGCGCCUGAAACUACUAGUCUAGAAUGUCGGAGGGGGGUAGGGGGAAUUUCACGUGUAGGGGGUAAAAAUCCGUAGAGAUGUGAAGGAACACCGGAGGCGAAGGCGCCUACCUGGACGACUAUUGACGCUGAGGCGCGAAAGCGUGGGGAGCAAACAGG